UACGGGGGGGCAAGCGUUGUUCGGCAUUACUGGGCGUAAAGGGCUUGUAGGUGGCCAACUAAGUCAGACGUGAAAUCCCUCGGCUUAACCGGGGAACUGCGUCUGAUACUGGAUGGCUGGAGUGUGGGAGAGGGAUGCGGAAUUCCAGGUGUAGCGGUGAAAUGCGUAGAUAUCUGGAGGAACACCGGUGGCGAAGGCGGCAUCCUGGACCAUUACUGACACUGAAAAGCGAAAGCCAGGGGAGCAAACGGG
rnacentral:rRNA from 1 species